rnacentral:rRNA from 1 species
GAUGAACGCUGGCGGCGUGCCUAAUACAUGCAAGUCGAGCGGACGGACGAGGAGCUUGCUUCUCUUAUGUUAGCGGCGGACGGGUGAGUAACACGUGGAUGACCUACCUAUAAGACUGGGAUAACUUCGGGAAACCGGAGCUAAUACCGGAUAAGAUUUUGAACCUCAUGGUUCAAAAGUGAAAAACGGUCUUGCUGUCACUUAUAGAUGGAUCCGCGCUGCAUUAGCUAGUUGGUAAGGUAACGGCUUACCAAGGCAACGAUGCAUAGCCGACCUGAGAGGGUGAUCGGCCACACUGGAACUGAGACACGGUCCAGACUCCUACGGGAGGCAGCAGUAGGGAAUCUUCCGCAAUGGGCGAAAGCCUGACGGAGCAACGCCGCGUGAGUGAUGAAGGUCUUCGGAUCGUAAAACUCUGUUAUUAGGGAAGAACAUAUGUGUAAGUAACUGUGCACAUCUUGACGGUACCUAAUCAGAAAGCCACGGCUAACUACGUG